rnacentral:misc_RNA from 1 species
AAGUCGUAACAAGGUUUCCGUAGGUGAACCUGCGGAAGGAUCAUUCAUGAUCAAGAAUUAUGCCCUAGCCCAGCAUAAUUCAUGUUGCAUAGCCAACAACUAUUCGUGCACCUUUCAUUUGGCUGGGUUGGGUAACUUGGAUCAUUGCUUUUGGCUGGAUUGAUUCAGGUACGCCUGUAAAACCCCUACCCCAGUCAAGCAAUUCCUCUAUUGAUUUUGGCUGGACCAGAGGAAAUUGCAACUACUCUAUUGCUCUUGGCUGGACCAGAGUAGAGAAAAUUGCUCUCUUUGCUUUUGGCUGGAUCAGAGAGUGAUUAGGUUCAGGGGGGAAUUGUCGUACUUACUACCUAAAACAAAAAACCCACAUACGACCUCUAGCAGGGGAUCUCUGGGCUCAU